AUUGAACGCUGGCGGCAUGCCUUACACAUGCCAGUCGAACGGCAGCGCGGACUUCGGUCUGGCGGCGAGUGGCGAACGGGUGAGUAAUACAUCGGAACGUACCCUGUUGCGGGGAUAACUAGUCGAAAGAUUAGCUAAUACCGCAUACGACCUGAGGGUGAAAGUGGGGGACCGGAAACGGCCUCAUGCAUCAGGAGCGGCCGAUGUCUGAUUAGCUAGUUGGUGGGGUAAAGGCCCACCAAGGCGACGAUCAGUAGCUGGUCUGAGAGGACGAUCAGCCACACUGGGACUGAGACACGGCCCAGACUCCUACGGGAGGCAGCAGUGGGGAAUUUUGGACAAUGGGGGCAAGCCUGAUCCAGCAAUGCCGCGUGUGUGAAGAAGGCCUUCGGGUUGUAAAGCACUUUUGUCCGGAAAGAAAUCGCGCUGGUUAAUACCUGGCGUGGAUGACGGUACCGGAAGAAUAAGCACCGGCUAACUACGUG
rnacentral:rRNA from 1 species